GAGGAAUCUAGGCACACACAUUUCACCAACAGACUCAAAGGUUCAGCAACUGUGAUCAAAGUAACUGCAAAUAUCAGUGUGUUCGCUUUAGUGUACACAUAAUUCAGCCAACUUGAAAAAUAUUUAUUCAGUGGCCGCUGGCUGUGUGCCAGGUACUGAGCUGGAUCCUGGACGUGAUCAACUGUCUUAUGAAAUCCAGGGCAGAGCUCAAAGCUGCGCUUACCUUGACUUUAUCAUCAGAAGGCCUCUGGCUCUGGGACACAAGGAACAAGUAAACAAGAGGAAUUGAUGUGACAAGAAUUUAGUAAGUACAAGUCAGGCUUCAACUGAAGGUGCCUGCUUCGUGUUCAGUUUUCCACUGCAAAGUGUACAAAUGAGAAAGAAAAAUGGUUCUGUUGACAAAG